CCCAAGGGAUGAGCCAGGGAUGUGGUCGGGACAAGGGAUACGGUGUGCGAUCACAAACAGCUGGGGACGGACAAGACCCUCUCCUGAAGCUGCUCAUCUCUGAAGCGAAGAAGAAACUGGCUGCUGUCCUGGGUCUCGCCCGCUUUCCAUCCUCCGACUUGUAAAGAAACUGCCUUCAUGGCCCCCAAGUCCCGCGUAGUGUGGCCACUAUCCACUUCUGUGAUUUCAUCUGUAUCCCUCCCCCUCGCUCUCCCCCUUGGCACCGGCUGCCCCCUCCGGUGGGCGUAUUCUGCACCUGUCCUCAUUCCCCUAGCUCCCUCUUCAGAGCUCCGCACCAGGAUCCCUUCCUUAGGGUGACCCCUCAGGCUAGACCAGGAUACGGAUUUCACAGGACCUCAUGGCAACCGGAACUUUCCUUCUUCACCCUUACAUAGUCGUUCGUCUGAGUAAUGCUUGUGUUAAGCUCCGUCUUGCACGUUACAGUGGAGUGGGGCAGACGUUUCUAUUGGACCCCGGCGGCUAGCCCAGUGCCAGAACGUCACAGAUGGUGAAGUACCUGGGAAACAACCAGAUGCACAAGGACGAGAUCCACACCCGCACGCGUCUCAGCAAGCCUGGUGUUAGGCUGCCCUGGCACGAUUGCCGCGUUCCACGUGCAGGAGGGGCCAGCGCCAGUGGCUUCUUGAUGGGGACAGCGCACAUCACACAGGCCUCUGCUAGGACUGUUGAGCUCUGAAGCGAGGCCAACUGAGUAGCAUGCACUCGAGGUGUACGUAUGUGCCUACACGGGUUGGUAAAGCUGUAGGCCCUCAACGAAUGUUCGAUUGCAACCUGUACCGUCUUUCUGUGACAACGCAACGUCAGUCCUGCACACGACAACACGGAAGCCUCCGGUCUGAGCACCACAGAGAACUUAUUUAUUCCCAGAUGAGGUCAAUAAAUAAUUCUUCCUA